GACGAACGCUGGCGGCGUGCUUAACACAUGCAAGUCGAACGGAAAGGCCCUGCUAUUGUGGGGUGCUCGAGUGGCGAACGGGUGAGUAACACGUGAGGAACCUGCCCUUGACUUUGGGAUAACUGCAGGAAACUGGGGCUAAUACCGGAUAGGAGCUCCUGCUGCAUGGUGGGGGUUGGAAAGGUUCGGCGGUUGGGGAUGGACUCGGGGCUUAUCAGCUUGUUGGUGGGGUAGUGGCUUACCAAGGCAUUGACGGGUAGCCGGCCUGAGCGGGUGACAGGCCACAUUGGGAUUGAGAUGAGGCCCAGACUCCUACGGGAGGCAGGAGUGGGGAAUAGUGUACAAUGGGCGGAAGCCUGGUGCAGCAACGCCGCGUGCGGGAUGACGGCCUUGGGGUUGUAAUCCGCUUCCGCCUGUGACGAAGCGUGAGUGACGGUAAUGGGUAAAGAAGCACCGGCUAACUACGUG
rnacentral:rRNA from 1 species